GAGACAACAGGGGGAACCAGGUGAGCCAGACUCUCUUGGAUGUCCAGAUUUGAACACGUGGAGUGUUGAUGGAACUCAUGAUAACUAGGAACUUUUCAGUGAAGGUGUAGGUAACAAUGCAAGACUUGUUUUGUUGCCCAGGCUGGAGUGCAGACUCACCUAUUAAUUUUACAGCAUAAAAAUGAUCAGCCCAAUUUAUGUAGUCCUAUUAUCUCUAUCAAGGAUAUUUAGGUCCAUGUGGCCUGCGACAUAGCUCUAGUCACUGAGGGAAAAGCGGUGGUUUGUUGAGUUGAUGCUGCUUCUUCAGAGCGGAAUUUAAACAAUCAACUCCUCACCUCACCCAGUCUAUUUUUACAAUUUUGGAUGACGCUUGGGAAUGCAGUUGCCAUUUCUUACAUAAUGGGAGUUGACUGUGCCGUGAAGGUAACAGGAAGAUGUGUAAAUUUAAAGCCUGGUUACAUAACCUGCUGAAUUUUAAAAGACUAGAGCCAAUCACGUUCUGACAUCUUGUUUAAUUAGUUCUGAAUUUAUCUUUCGUUGGUUACUUCAAGUUCCCCUAAUUCACUUUCUGCUACAGUAGUCACAUACAAUAAUCUUGAUAUAGUAAAAUAAAAAAUAACUAAUUUGAAAAUGAACCCGACUUCCAGGAGAGGUGAACAUUUCUUUGGGGUGAAUGGUGGGAAGGGUGGAGACAUGGUUGAACACUGAGGUUGUGCUCACAAUUGUUUUAUUUUAAUUAGGG
rnacentral:lncRNA from 1 species